rnacentral:rRNA from 1 species
CGCAGCCGCGGUAAUUCCAGCUCCAAUAGCGUAUAUUAAAGUUGCUGCAGUUAAAAAGCUCGUAGUUGAAUUUCGGGACCAUCAUGUCGGUCGUGCCUCGGUACGUACUGGUAUUGUUGGUUUCUCCCUUCUGACGAACCAUGAUGUCAUUUAUUUGGUGUUGUGGGGAAUCAGGACUGUUACUUUGAAAAAAUUAGAGUGUUUAAAGCAGGCUCACGCUUGAAUACAUUAGCAUGGAAUAAUGAAAUAGGACGUUUGAUUCUAUUUUGUUGGUUUCUAGGAUCGACGUAAUGAUUAAUAGGGAUAGUUGGGGGCAUUAGUAUUCAAUUGUCAGAGGUGAAAUUCUUGGAUUUAUUGAAGACUAACUACUGCGAAAGCAUUUGCCAAGGAUGUUUUCAUUAAUCAAGAACGAAAGUUAGGGGAUCGAAGACGAUCAGAUACCGUCGUAGUCUUAACCAUAAACUAUAGCCGACUAGGGAUCGGGAUGAUGUUAAUUUUUUAAUGACUCAUUCGGCGUCCU